AACGAACGCUGGCGGCAUGCCUAACACAUGCAAGUCGAACGAGACCUUCGGGUCUAGUGGCGCACGGGUGCGUAACGCGUGGGAACCUGCCCUUAGGUUCGGAAUAACUCCCCGAGAGGGGUGCUAAUACCGGAUAAUGUCUUCGGACCAAAGAUUUAUCGCCUUUGGAUGGGCCCGCGUUGGAUUAGCUAGUUGGUAGGGUAAAAGCCUACCAAGGCGACGAUCCAUAGCUGGUCUGAGAGGAUGAUCAGCCACACUGGGACUGAGACACGGCCCAGACUCCUACGGGAGGCAGCAGUGGGGAAUAUUGGACAAUGGGCGAAAGCCUGAUCCAGCAAUGCCGCGUGAGUGAUGAAGGCCUUAGGGUUGUAAAGCUCUUUUACCCGGGAUGAUAAUGACAGUACCGGGAGAAUAAGCACCGGCUAACUCCGUG
rnacentral:rRNA from 1 species